UACGUAGGGUGCGAGCGUUUGUCCGGAAUUAUUGGGCGUAAAGAGCUUGUAGGUGGUUUGUCGCGUCUGCUGUGAAAUCCGAGGCUCAACCUCGGACUUGCAGUGGGUACGGGCAGACUAGAGUGUGGUAGGGGAGACUGGAAUUCCUGGUGUAGCGGUGGAAUGCGCAGAUAUCAGGAGGAACACCGAUGGCGAAGGCAGGUCUCUGGGCCAUUACUGACGCUGAGAAGCGAAAGCAUGGGGAGCGAACAGG
rnacentral:rRNA from 1 species